rnacentral:rRNA from 1 species
CAAUAGCGUAUAUUAAAGUUGUUGCAGUUAAAAAGCUCGUAGUUGGAUUUCUGGUUGAAGCGACCAGUCGGGCGUUGAUUCGUCUGCACUGGAGUCGGUUUUGGCCAUCCUCUAGGAAAGUGCGUCUGGUAUUAAGUUAUCGGGCGUAUGAUCCUGGUCUUUUACUGUGAAAAAAUUAGAGUGUUUAAAGCAGGCCUUCGCCUUGAAUACAUUAGCAUGGAAUAAUAAGAUAGGACUUUGGUCUAUUUUGUUGGUUUGCAGACCGAAGUAAUGAUUAAUAGGGAUAGUUGGGGGUAUUUAUAUUCCGAUGUCAGAGGUGAAAUUCUUAGAUUUUCGGAAGAUAAACUUAUGCGAAAGCAUUUACCAAGGAUGUUUUCAUUAA